GGGGGGUAAUAAGAGCCUAUAUAAGAAAAAUCCCCCAAUAUUCAGAGUGUCCCUAUAAAAUCGGGACAUCUGGUCACCCUAGUAUGGGAGGAGGGAUUGGGGGAUUUGUCUGUGCUUGCUGUGUAAGAACUCAUUAAGGUGGUUGGGUGGCAGUUGGCUCGAGUGUCUUGGUGAGGCAGUUGGUGUGUGUCACAGCAAUGGCCCUGUGGCCAACUUGCCAGCACCUGCAUGUCUCUGGCGGGCUGCUAAUGUAGUGUGAGGCCACUGAGACCGUCUCCCUAGAACCCGAGUGUUGCAGAGCCCAGGGAGUAGUUUCGAGCCCUGGGUGAAGCAUAGAUACCUUGGAUAUGCCUCUAAGGUCUUGGAUGUAGAAAGCACUGUUAACUCUGAGAGCCUCCUACUGGAUUCCAAACAAAAACUUAACUGGACUCAUUGUUAAUUGUCACUCUGGCAAUUCCAUUGCAAGUAUCACACUAUUUGAUGUUUUUCUUUCAUACCCGGUUGCUGGCAGCAAGAAGUUUCAUGAGACUCUCUACAGAGAAGACAUUUCCAGUUAUAUCACUAUAAUGUGCCAGAGCUGGUCAAGACUACAGAGUUAGGUAAUGAGGAUAGAGACAGCAGUUAGAAUUUGUUUCUGAUGGUAUUGCAAGUUUCCUGUCUGGAGUCUGCUAUGCUCCUCCUUUGUAACCAGCAAGCUGUCACGUGAACUGUUAAAUAACUAAGGCUAUGAGCGUCGGCCUCAGAGGAUUUUGUUGCUCUGUCCAGAAAUCCCUAUAUCGUGAGAUGGGCUUUCAAAUGUUGCUUACCUGAAGCCUGACAGCUCUCACCUGAACUGCUGAGAAAUCAGAAUCCAGUAAGAGUCAAAUCUUCAUCUGAUGAAAAUCUGCACAGAAUUGGUCCAUGAUGCUUUUCCAUGAUGUCCCUGACACUUGUCCCUGCCAGCAGUGGGAAAUACCUUCGUUAUGUGACUUGCUGAGCUCAGAUACAUUCAGAAAUGCCAUGUUCUUGACUUUGUCCUGCUCUUUGCAGCCAGCAAGAUGUUGUUUGAAUUCUCUUGAGAACAAGAAUUUACUCAACCGUGGUGUUAAAUAUGUUGUCUAAUGUGCAGUUAACUUGCAGCUACCAAGAAGUCAUACAGUUUUCAAGGCAUGUUGUGGGAGGCAGCCCUGUGAGCCAGGGAAAAAGAUGAGUGUUCUGUCCUGCACCAAAUGAUCUGUGGGAGUAUAGGCAUGUAUGGUACAUACAGGUAUGGACUGACCUGAAAAAGCAUAAAUUUAUUUAACUUCUUGUGGUCAAAUGUGGAAGUGAGUUUCAGUUUUCAUCUUGACUUUUCACUAGUAGAUUAAUAAUUUGUCAUUCUAAUUAUAAGAGGCAGCACUGUCUAGUGCCUAAGGGCACUGGACAAGGAGUCAGGAGACCUGGGUUCUAUUCCUGACCUGUAUGACAGUAGGCAAGUUACUUCACACCUCUGUUUCCCCUCCUAUCCUGUGUCUCUUCUGUUUACAGGGCCGGCACCAGCGAAGGAAGCAUGUGCCUGGGCAGCCAAUAGAAAGGUGUGGCGGCACGUCCGGGUCAGGGACGGGUCCUUCGGCAGCAGCUCAAUCACUCCUCUUCAGACUUCAGCGGCGGGUCCUUCAAUCAUAUCAUUCCCCCCCACCCCGCCACUUGGGGUAGCAAAAAGCUGGAGCCAGCUUUGUCUGUUUAGACUAGAGUAUGAGCUUGUCAAUGCAGGGACUGUCCCAUAUUAGGUGCUAUACAAAUAAUGGGGCCCUAACUUCACUUUAAGGCCUAUAGGUGCUACUGGCAUACAAAUAAUAAAAUAGCUAUCAUACCUCUAAUUGUGUCUGAAUAAAAAAUAUAGUUGUACAUACUAAAUGGUUUUUAAACAUACACAUGUACAGUUUUUAUGAAGUACUUUUGACAUUGUAUGUAGUCGAAUUGUAGCAGCGCAAAAACCCACAGAAUGCAGACAAAGUUGGUAAAGUUUAAUCACUAGACUGAAUAAAUUGUUCUAUGAACUACCUUUUAGUUUAUAAGCCAUUUGACAGCAAUAUGGUUAAUUAAAUAAAAAUGGUUUUAAAAAA